UAACAGGGUUUCCCCUAAGUAGCGGCGAGCGAAGCGGGAAGAGCUCAAAUUUAUAAUCUGGCACCUUCGGUGUCCGAGUUGUAAUCUCUAGAAGUGUUUUCCGCGUUGGACCGCACACAAGUCUGUUGGAAUACAGCGGCAUAGUGGUGAAACCCCCGUAUAUGGUGCGGACGCCCAGCGCUUUGUGAUACACUUUCAAUGAGUCGAGUUGUUUGGGAAUGCAGCUCAAAUUGGGUGGUAAAUUCCAUCUAAAGCUAAAUAUUGGCGAGAGACCGAUAGCGAACAAGUACCGUGAGGGAAAGAUGAAAAGCACUUUGGAAAGAGAGUUAACAGUACGUGAAAUUGUUGGAAGGGAAACGCUUGAAGUCAGACUUGCUUGCCGGAGCUUGCUUCGGUUUGCAGGCCAGCAUCAGUUUUCCGGGGUGGAUAAUGACGGUUUGAAGGUAGCAGUCUCGGCUGUGUUAUAGCUUUCCGUUGGAUACAUCCUGGGGGACUGAGGAACGCAGCGUGCUUUUUGCGAAAGACUCGUCUUUUUCACGCUUAGGAUGCUGGUGGAAUGGCUUUAAACGACCCGUCUUGAAACACGGACCA
rnacentral:rRNA from 1 species